GGGGUUUUUGAGGACUGGCUAUUUUGUUUUUUUAAAUUUCACCCUUGAUUAUUCUAAUUUCCAUAUUUUUCUUUACUGAACUUGUAAAAUAGAGUCCAUGUUUGUUCUUUCAUCUACUUAUUUCAUUUUUUGGGGGUUCUACCCUGGAUUGAUUGUAAGAUAGAAAUUUUCAACAUUAACAAAUCCACAUCCAUGUUAUGUGGCGACUGUUCUCGGUUCUUGAGCACUCUGUAGAAAAUCUUACUCGUGUUGACAACAGGGUUUAUCAAGGCUUUCGGUUUGGCUCCUUGCCAGGUUGUCACUGUGUGUUGUCUUUGUUGUCUGUUUCAGCUACAUGUUGUGUCAUUUUGAGCCACUUACUGAUAUGAGUGAAAAACUUCCCCCUCUACCCAUCUCUUAUUCAUUUGUGGUCAUUAUUUUGAAACAAAAAAAACCCAUUGUAUGAUUUUUGUAUUUGCAUUAUGCAUAACCUUUUUAUAAUAAUUAUUAAUAUUAAAAGAACCAUAAUAUUAUUG
rnacentral:sRNA from 1 species